UCAAAGUCACUGGGCCCUAUUACAAUACUCUGGCCCAAAACGAAAUAAACACUGAACAACAUAAAAUAAAUUUGCGAAAUUUCCUAAUUAGAAAUUAACUAAGGUAAGCGCUUCUUUAUUUGCCCUCUUCAAGUCCACAACCAAAAUCCGGAUUAAGCCCAAUGUUUCAUUAAUUCCUGAAAUUAGAUUAAAAACAUCAAAUUAGCUAAAUGAGCCCAAAUAAUAAAACUGCCUAAUUAAUUGACAAUUAAGACCAAUCAAUAAUUAAAAUGGUGCAAAAAGGGUUUAGAAAAUAGAAGAAAAUGAUGGCACAUCACUAAUGAAGAAACAAAAAUGCUUUCUCGAGUGAACUAUGCACAUCUCUUUGUGUCUACUCCAUCCUUCAAGAGCAUCUCGGCAGCUGAGUAUAUUAUGAUAAAUGAUAAAGUUUGUUCUGUGAGUAUGUUGGAGGAAAGUAUCUUGAAGGUUAAACAUUGUAGAUACAGUUGGCGGGUAAGCAAAUCAGAUGGAGAAGACGAUAGUAUAUGUGGAAGCAAAGUAGGAAUGGAUAUUAGAUCGCAUAUGUCGAAAUUCUCUCUUGACAAUGCUGAGGAACUUGGUAAUGAAGAAGAUGCAGGAUAGUAGCGCAAUGGAGGUUUUUGGCAACCAGGGAAGCAACAGGAGGAAGAGACGCUACAAAAUCUGUUGGUCAUUAAUAGGAGAAUAUGGCUAGUGACAAUACAAAGAAGGAAGAGUCAAACAAUGUUGCUCUUCCUUUUUUGGUAGAAAAGCCAUAGGACAGUAAAGCAAGGAUGGUGAAAGAGAGUGGUGAGUGCAAAAGGUAGUAAAAUUCAGCGGAUGAAGUACAACAACCAGAAGGUAGCAUGGAAGGGCAUAACCUAGAGCUACUCAAGUCAUCUGAUAAGAGGGGCACAAAUAGAAAGAAAGAUUUGAAGAAGGCUAUCAUGGACUAGAGGGAUGUUUUUAUGAAUUCAAAAGUGGAGUCAACCAACUUGAUCGUUGGAAGGGGGAAACAAAUAUUAUUAUGGGCCCAAAGCUAAAGAGGAAAAAAGUAAUAGUUUGGCCCUACAAGGAAGUCUCAAAGUUGAAAAAAGGGUGGGCCUUACAAUUGAAAAGGUGAACAAAUUAAAUCCUUCCAAACCUAAGGCAUGCUUAAUAGAGGACUUCCUUGUUUCUAACAAGUUUCAAAUAUUUCUAAGAGGUGGUUCAAGUAAUUCUUCCCAAAAUUCACAGGGGGAGAUUAGUAAAAAUGACUUGGGGAGAGGUUCUAAGUCAGUUAUGGGUUUUAAGGGGAGCUUGAAACAAAGCUAGUCUGACUUAUCAAAUGGGGCGAACAACUCAGAAGGGAGGAAGGAUGGAAGUCUGAAAAAUAGCAGUGUGAAGAUGAGGAAGAAUAGUGCAACACAAGGUGUGAAUCUUUCUAGUAACUCUAUGUUGAAAGGGUCUGAUAGCAAUAGUAAAAGUAUUUUUGGAGAAAGAAUGAUGUUUCAGAAGCAAGGAAUAUAGUGGAUAUGGGGAUUGGUUUAGGGGUGUCUUUGAUUGGGAAGGAGGAAAUUAUGGUACAAUAACUUGCUAACCUGGAGCAUAGAGAUGUUAUAUUAAAAAAGGAUACAUAUGGCCAUAAAAGGAAGGGGAACAAUAAAAAGUGUUUAUGAAGAUAAUGACUUUCAACAUUUGAGGCCUUGGAGGAAGGCUAAGGGUGAAGGAGGUGCAAGAGUUGAUACAAAAAGAGGAGGUGCAAUUAUUAUUUUACAAGAAACUAAAAAGAAGUGCUACAUAAGGAAUUAUGUUACACUUUAUGGGGUGACUUUGAAGUAGCUUCGGUGAUGUCCCUAUCUUUAAAUAUGGCGGGAGGGAUGCUUUGCUUGUGGAGUACAGAGGCUUUUCACCUAAAUAAUUCGGUAAGUGGCUUUAGAUUUCUUGCUUUAUAACGAGUAUGGAAAGAAGGGGAUUGAGAAAUCACAUUAAUGAUAUAUAUAUUCACCAUGUGACUUGGAAGGGAAUAAGAGGCUCUGGGAAAAGUUGAAAGAGUAUAAACAAAGAUCAUUGUGCCCUAGUGGUGUGCUUUGGGGAUUUCAAUAUUGUUCAAAGGAGUGAAGAAAGACAAGGUAUAAGUGCCAAUCCACAAGUAGCUAGAGAGAUAAUAGAGUUCAAUCAAUUCAUUGAAGAGACGAAGCUCAUUAACAUCUCGAUGGUAGGGAGAAACUUCACAUGGUACCGAUCGAAUAGAAAAGCUAAAAGCCAGAUUGAUAGAGUUCUAAUAUCAAGAGAGUGGUUGGAGUGUUGGCUGGGGAAUGAAACAACCCGCAUCAUUGCUAUGAUAUCAAUAACUCUAAAACACGUAAUUUUAAUUUUUAAGUGGAAACUCCAUUAAUUUGAUUAUGAAAAACGGGGGUAAAUUUUUCGCAAUAUAUAUAUAUAUAUAUAUAUAUAUAUAUAUAUAUAUAUAUAUAUAUAUAUAUAUAUAUAUAUAUAUAUAUUUAUUUAUGUAUGUAUUAAACCAUUACACAUCAUUUACAAGAAAGAAAGUAAUUUAGUUUAUAAAUGUAUCUAAGUCUAUAAUUUACACGUCCAAAUCAAAAUAGAAUCAAGGAACCAACUACGGAAUUGAUAACAAACCACAAUUCUCUCUCAAAAUAAUUCCAACGUCAUCACAUUGGCUUGGCAACUCUGACAAAAGAACCUUCCUCCAUAUCAUCUACUGUUGUUCAUUUGCUCCCACGAACGAAGGUUCAUGAUCAUCACAGGUACCAACCACAUGGUACAAAAUUUCAAGGGUGGGUUUAUUAUAAAAGAGAUCAAUAAGUAUAAGAAGACAAUAAUUAGCCAGGAAACUAUAUCAAUAAUCAAAAUCAUACUCAAUAAUCCAUCAGUUCAACAUAUACUUAACAACUAGUCAUCAACUUUUCCGCAAAUCCAAUCAAUUAUGCUCAAUAUGAUGCAUGCAUCUAACCUCAACUCUCAAAUGUAAUGUGGUACCAUUCGUUAAGAAAUAGCCUAAGCGUAUCCAUGCGACACUCUCACUUAGGAAAACUAGGCAACAAGUGUCGAGGUCACCCUGUCGUGCACAAGCAACUUCUUCCCCAUGGUGAUCAGCUUGAGUCUCAAGGAAGAUCCAAACUGAGUGACAUGCCCCCAACUACAAGUAUUUUUCCUCAUGAAAAACUACAAGUACUUACUAACAAAGUUUAUACUAUUUCCAUGCAGUAUGAAGUAUGAAACAUUGGCACCAUCAAUGCACUGACUGUAGAUAAUUAAAUAUUCUAAGUCAUGCCCUUCUCUUACCAUGGAUGCUUAAAACUCUUUAACCACUCUAUUUCCCCCACCAGGGAUAUCCAACUUGGUCAUUGUAUCCCCCAUGUACAUACACAACAUACAUCCAUCACAAUGACAUUAUCAACAUCAACAUCAUCCCAUGUUAAUGUUAUUAUCACAUCAACAUCAUCUUAUCUCAAUAUCAUCAUCAACAUCAACAUUAACAUCAUCUCAUCUCAAUGAUAUUAUCAACAUCAACAUCAUCUUAUCUCGAUGAUAUUAUCAACAUCGACAUCAUCUAAUAAUAUCAUCAUCAUUAUCAAUAUCAUUUCAUAUUAACAUUACCAUAAACAUUAACAUCAUCUUAUAUCAUCAUUACCAUAGACAUCAACAUCAUUAGUAAUCGCAUUCCACAUAUAUACAUAUAAGUUUCAUGCAUGGGAUUCACACUCAUUAUUUAGGUCCUCAAACAACAUAAGUCUCAUACAACAACAAUAUCAUUCACAAUUUCAAUCAUCAAUAACAAAUAAACCACAUCCCAUUAGUCAAAAACACAAUUUUUCUUGAAAACCAGGAUGCAACAGGGACAAACAUACAUCCUCAUAGUUGGGUUCCCUGACCUCAACUACGAUAUCAAAGCGGUAAACCAAAAUAAACUCCUCUUACUUAUUGAUAUCUCUUCGUCAGCUCCUUUCAGCGUUGCUCGGAGGUCUCUCCUAUUCACAUCCGUCGGUCCAAACGCAGUGCUUGAUAUACCAAAUCGAAGACAAUUUAGUAUAGAUUUUAAAAACAAGGUUAAUAUCAACAUCUAGGAUCGAAUACCCUUGUCAACUUAAAAAGGGGCUAAGGGGUGUUUUGGGGUCUACAUCACAAAGACGUCAUUUUGAAAUUCCGAUCUCGCCAAUAUGAUCGGGGCUCAACGAAAGUCACGAAAACAACAUCAAUUUUAUAAAAUGGUAACUUUUACAACGUCUCAUUUUCAAGGAUUUUUCAAAGGAAGCGUAAAAACAUCCUAUUAGAGUGCCCAAAUCACAAGAGAUACUAAUAAAAACUCAAACUAACUCGGAGAAAGGCAUAGAAAUCAUGGUUACCUCAAAGAAACCACAAAAGAAAGGGUUAACGCGCUUGAGCAAAUUACCUCCUCGGGUUGGAAUUGCGCUUAACGUGCUUGUCUCGCUAAGAGAAUUUCCUUCUCGGGUUGGAAUUGCGCUUAGCGCGCAUGUCUCGCUAAGUGAGUUGUCGAAAGUGUGAAUGUAUGUAUACAUGAUUUUUGAUGAUGUCAAAAGAAGAAUCAAACAAGGCUCAUUUGCUUCAAGAUUAAUACAAGAUUGUUUCAACAAACAAAGCCUUUAUUCAAUAUUUCUUCAAGAUCAAGACUUUCCUCAAAAUGAAAAGGUUUCAAGUCAUCCAAGGCACAUGUAAUCGAUUACCAAUACAUGUAAUGAUUACCAAGGCACAUGAAAGUGUGUAAUCGAUUACACAUCAUAUGUAAUCGAUUACCAGAGACUCUGAACGUUGGGAAUUCAAAUUUUAAAUGAAGAGUCACAACUAUUCAAGAAAAAUAACUGUGUAAUCGAUUACCAGAGAGGAUUUUCAAGGAAUAUCGCCAACAGUCACAUCUUAUCAUUUGGAUUUUGAAUGGCCAUCAAAGGCCUAUAUAUAUGUGUGACUUGGGACGAAAUUGGUAGAGAGUUUUGCUAGUUCAGAAUGUCUUAUCCUCUCAAAUCAUUGUUUGAUUUUGGUUAAGGACAACCUUAUUGAUUGCGGAAUUAAACCAUUUAAGGUCCUCAAUGGUUGGUUUGAUGAUGGUGGCCUUAAAGAGAUUGUGAUGGAAGCCUGGAGGAGCCAAAAUGUAGAGGGGGAGGAGCAUAUGUGUUUAAAGAGAAAUUAAAAGGGGUUAAAGUUUCCUUGAGAAAAUGGAAUUUGGAGGAGUUUGGUAUGACACAAAGGAAGCAACAAUUAAUAGUGAAAGAAAUGAAUGAGCUAGACAUUUUGGAAGAACUUGGAAGCUUGGAUGAGGAAAGUUCCAAGAGGAGACUCCAACUUCAAGAAGAUCUUUGGAAGGUCGAAAAAUUCAAUGAAUCUUUGCUUCUUAAAAAGUCAAGGGUGAGAUGGAUCAAGGAGGGAGAUUGCAAUUCAAAGCUAUUUCGCUCUAUAAUAAAUUGGAGAAGAAGGAAGAGUUUGUUGAAAGGUAUGGAUGUUGAUGAGGAGGGGGUGGAAGACCCGGGGAGAGUAAAAGAGGAAGUGGAGAAUGUUUUUUUUGAAAAAAGAUUCAAGGAGGACAAUUUAUAUAGACCCAAGGUUGAUGGAGUUGCUUUCAAACAAAUCUUAAUAGAAGAUAAUUCUUUGUUAGAGGCGGUGUUUGAGGAAGAAGAGGUGUAAAAAGCUAUUUAGGGUUGUGAUGGUUCAAAGAGUACUCCCAAUCCCAACUGUUUCAACUUUUACUUUAUCAAGGAGUUUUGAGAGUAGCUGAAGAUAUUUUGAGAUUCAUGUGUGACUUCCAAGAGGUAUUAACUCUUCCUUCAUAGCUUUGGUAGCUAAGUGUGAUUUCGCCUAAAGUUUAGGCCAAUUUAGACCUAUAUCGUUGGAGGGAUGUUUAUAUAAAAUUUUGGCAAAGGUCCUAGCAAAUAGGAUGAGGAAGUACUUGGGAAGGUAAUAGAUCUGUGCUAAAGUGCCUUCCUCGAGGGGAGACAACUUUUACAAAGUGUGUUCAUGGCAAAUGAAGUAGUAGAUGAUGCAAAAAGGAGGAAAAACCUAGCUUUCUUUUCAAGGUUGAUUUUGAAAAGGCAUACGAUUCCGUAGCAUGGGAUUUUCUUCUUUACAUGUUUCAUAGAUUAAGUUUCUAAGAGAGGUGAAUUAUGUGGAUAAAGGGAUGUCUAGAGUCUUCUUGGGCAUCGAUGUUGGUGAAAGGGAGCCCCACACAAGAAUUUAAAUGUCACAAGGGUCUUAAUCUACCAUUCACAUAUUUUGGCUUACCCAUUGGGGAAAAUCCAAGGAGGAAGGAGAUGUUGCAACCCGUUAUUCAAAAUUUCUCUAAGAAAUUGUCUAUUUGGAAACACAACCAUAUUUCUUUUGUGGGAAGGAUUUGCCUAAUCAAUUAUGUGUUGUCAUCUCUAUGUUUUUUUACUUCUCCUUUUAUAAAAUGCCAAAAGAAAUGUGGAAAAUUCUUGUGGAAAUCCAAAUAAGGUUCUUGUGGGGAGGGGAUGAUGAGAGUAAAAAAAUCCCAUGGGGACAUUGGGAGGAUAUUUGUAAAAGUAAGGAGAUGGGAGGUUUGGGAGUGAAAAACUUAUAUAGGUUUAAUGAGACACUGUGAUAUCCUAAUUUCAUCCAGGGACUAUCGUUCGUUGAUCUUUUGAUCCUUGCUAGUCGACUUAUGACGUUGAAUGCCAGUUAUAGUGCGAAGUAGAUGAUCAUUCAGUGUUUUGAUUAAAAAUGCAAAAAAUACAAAAAAAGAAAUGGGGCAAAAGGGUCUUUUCCUUAGUUUUCCUAGACCCUAGCUCGCCCAGGCUAGCCUAUGGCUCGCCUGAGCCACCAAAUAGCUUCAUGGUGAAGAAACCAGCUCGCUUGGGUGAGGUCACUUCUUCAGGGUUAAGUUUCAGCUCGCCUGGGCGAGCUGUAAUUGCCCCAAAGUGACCCUUUUUGCCUAUAAAUAGGCUUCCUAGGGGUGUUUUAAGGGGUCCAUGGCUCAAAAGUUGAGAGAAUUGAGAGAAGAGAGAAAGAAGAAGAAGAAAGAAGAGGAAACAAAGCCGAGGCGCUACCGAAUCACGACUGUGACCGAUCCCUACAUCGUUCCUUGUUCGGUGUUCUUCGUGCGACCGUCGGUUAGUUUUAUUUUAAGACUUGAAUGUGAUCUAUGUACCCUUAGGGGUCUUCCUUGUUAUUAUGUGCACAUUCAUCUUCUUCGUCUAUCAUCGACAAUCUCUUUUUCUUUGUAAAGAUCAAUCUUAACCGAUCACUAGUGCAGUAAAAUUGUCCUUAAAAAGAUUGAAAGUUAAUAAACAAAACCAAGAUAAAACCAACUCAUAACUAACUUCAUUUCAUCAAAUAUCACUAGAGAUCAUUCCAAGGUCCAAUGCCUUAAAGAUUCUCUCUACUUUUCAAAAUUCAAAACAUCGUUUCAAGGUCCAACGCCUUAAAUGACUCUUUGUUCGUAAUUAAAAUGAAUCUUUCUAAAGCAUAAAACCAACUCAAGACACAAGCUUUCAGACUUAAAUAACUACGUUGGUCUAAAUUUCUCAUCGCACCUGAGGAAUUGUAGGAGCAAGGGCAACACCCUUGUCGACCCCCUAAAAAAAUAUAAAAAGGGAAAAGUAAAUAAUUCUGAAGUCACGUUGCACACACUCGAUUAAAGGCUGCCAUCCCUUCUGACGGGCGCGUGGGGUGCUAAUACCUUCCCUAUGCAUAAACAACUCCCGAACCGCCUUAUUUUCAAAAUUCGCAGACCUGUUUUUUUAGGUUUUCUAACGUUUUCCUUGAAUAAACAUUGGUGGUGAAUCCGCUCAUUUUCUCCCUUGGAGACUGUUCGACAGCCGACAAGUGCACCGGAUCGCGCAAGUAGUAUAAAACGGUAAGUGAAUACCAAGUAUCAAACUCUCAGGGAACUUGUUUUACUUGGUAAAGCUGUGAUUCAGUAAAUAAGUGUCUUUGGAUGAAAGUUUGGUGUCUAGUAUGGACAAGUAUGCAAACUAAACUAUUCAAAAGUAAAUCACGUGAGUAGUGGUGUGGGAAGACAGAUAGACAACUUGUUGGUCUUCCUACAGGGUGGACUAAUGUUAUUAAGGAUGUUCUCUACCUAACAAUAUUCCUCUGUUCUAUGUUGUCUCCUGGACUACUAAAACCUGAUGUCUCGUGCAUGUUUAGCCUAAUCCUAAUCAAGCGUCGUCUUCAAAUCCCUCUUGUUGGACUACUUAACUAGAAUCACAUUAAGACAUAACAUAACAAAAUCUAGGUUACCGUAUGUGGCGUCCCCAAAAUAAUGACUGGUUUAAUAGUAAUGAUUUAAUUAACAAAACCAUGGUAAUUUUUUUUCUUCUUUUUCUUUUUCAUUCCUUUCUCUUUUCACCAUAACUAGGUUUAGAAGGAAAAUCCUCACUAUAGAGUCCUGAAUGGCCAGUUCACAACUCUAUUCGGAGUCAUUUCUUUCUUACCGCUCAUAAUCUCUAAACUAUUUUGCUGUUUCAAAAGGAAGAAUGUACCAACUAUUACUUUAGGUCGUCACGUGAAAAUAAAAGAAUAAAAUACGGUCGAUAAACUCUUUUACAAAUAAAUUUGCUAAUGCUUUCUUUUCGAGUAACAAGAUUGAUCAUAAACACAUUCAUCAUUUAAAGCUGUCCAAAAUAUGAGAGUUUUACAAAAUACAUAGUGUCAUCCAGAGCAAAGGUGUCCACAGUGGUGGCUUCAGCCACAUGUAUACAAUUAUCAAAUUCCUAUACAACAGGUCUACCCAUACAAAACAAAAGAGUAAACCUAACAGUCAGUCCUAGAUACACCCACCCUCAAAAAGUAUAUAAAACUAGUCCGAAGAGCUGUCCACUAGGAUGAAGAGCCUCCGCUGAUCGCCAUCUCUCCAGGGCCACUAUCCUCCGUAGAGUCUGCCUCAAAUGCCGACAUGACGUCCUUGGGAGAAUCCACCUCAGGAAGGGGAUCCUCAUCACCCUCUAGAAAGUCAAGAGCAUCCACAGCAGGCUCAAGAGGUAGCUCCUCAAGAUCCUCCUCGGGGUCUUCCUCGGAUGACGUCACCUCGAUCACUUGGACUGGCUCCACUAGACGAUAUGGUGUAGGCGUGGGUAGUAUCCACUCCACAGUGCGCUGAAGCGUACGCGCGGGUUCGUCUGGAUGCACCAAUGAAGUAGCCGUAAAUAGAAUCGUGCCCCGAAAUCGGCACCUCGUGUUGCCUUCGAGGGUCUCCCAAGCUCCCUCUAGGCACUCCAUCUCCACUCGAUCAUGGAUUAGCUGCGCCGCCAUCACGAUCUACAAGAAAGAAAAGAAAGGGGUAGACUCUUUCACAAGAAUCUAACUAUGCCGCCGCACAAUGCUUCUCUUAACCACUACAUGCAAGUAAAAGGGGUAUCUCAAGGUUUUUCAUCCCUGGUAAUCGAUUACACAGCCUUGGUAAUCAAUUACCAGAGGCCAAACUCGAAUCACACAGCUUCAGGACAUGAAAACCUGAAAAAGGCACUGUGUAAUCGAUUACACAUACCUGGUAAUCGAUUACCAGUGACCCAUUCCUCUGUGUAAUCGAUUACACAGACUGGUAAUCGAUUACCAGAGGCCUCCACAACCUGCUACCUUCAUUUCUAAGCCUGGUAAUCGAUUACACCCCCUUGGUAAUCGAUUACCAGAAGCCCUCAUAGCUUUCUGACCUCGUUUUCAAGCCUGGUAAUCGAUUACACCCCGUGGUAAUCGAUUACCAGUGACCAUCUUAGCCUCCUGUCUUCAUUUUUAAGCCUUGUAAUCGAUUACCCACCCUUGGUAAUCGAUUACCAGAGCCCAUAUCCCAUAUAUCAAUCAAAGUUCACAGCUGGCCAGCCACCACACAAGCCUCCUUGCUUUGUGGUUUUGUUCCUUUUAUCUGUUGACUGCCAGGAGCUCGCCUGUUUAGGUACAUCACAGGUUCUCACUGACUGACUAUGCCCGGGUUGGGUCGGGAUUGUUCAAGCUUGGUUUUGGGAAAUAGCACCCCACCUAACGUCCCCAAGGUCUCCUGACCCCCGCGACAUAUCUUCAGGUACCACUCUGUGGUCAACGAAAUAAAAGCAGGAAGUUUCACCCUUCUACACUUCCUCAUCUCAAGCUUGUAGGAUUAUGGGGUACCCAUCACAUGUGGUACUAGGUGGCGGUCGGGCGAUGGUGCACAACAAGUUUUCCACAUCCACAAAUCGCGCAUAAACCCACCAUCCCCUGUUGCCCACCUCCAACUGAGCUCACGUACUCCCACGUAGCCCAUAUCCUCGUUUCUCUCAACACCGGGUCCACAUCAAUCCUCCCAAGCUUCCCCAACAUCCAAGUAAUUCAACAUUCAAACAACACAAACUAUCACAGCCAAGAAAACAGGGCAAAGGCAGAAAACUCUGCCCAAAACACCAACCAAAAUCACAGCUUUUCCCACUUAAAGACCCCAGUAACAUUUCCUUCGUUCCAAUUCGUUAACCGUUGGAUCGACUCGAAAAUUUUACUGGAAGUCUCUAUUACAUAUGCAUACAUUUUGACCGUUGGGAUCUGCUAGCAAACAUUCAGAACACAUUCUGCACUACUCUUUCCAUAACCAGCAAAACAUAGCAUUUUUCUGCACUUAUGCAAAAUUCUGCUGCACAAUUUCACAGCAAAAUUCUGCAUAAAGUGCAGAUUUCGAAAACCACACUUCCCCUCAUCCAAUCUUGCCCAAAUCAAAUCCUACAAGUCCCAAAUCAUGUAUCAAUCAUGUCUAAACCAAAGUCAAGCUUCAAAACACAGCAACACAAAAUCUAGGUGUCCAAUACCCCUCAAUUUAAUGGAUUUUCUAGGUUUGAGAAGUGAAAUUGAGAAUGAGGUAAAUUUGAAGCAAACUCUCACCUCACACAAGUCCAUAACAUCAAUUUAAACUUGUGCCAACUGGAUUUACACCUAAAAUUUCACCGAAUCAAAAUUUGACUCCUCAACACCCAAAUUUACCCUAGAAAUGGCUCUUUGUUCACUUUGGUCAUUUGUUUUUCUCUCUAGCACAACCCAAGCUUUCUCAUAAGUGCUAAAUGACAUUUCAAGCUAGGAUUAAGUCAUUUUAACCUCCAUUUAUCACAGAAUCCAGAUUUAACCUUCCAACUCUCAAAGCCUCACUCUUUUUCCACCCAUAACACCACAUUCUCACUUUCUAACCCUAGGUUAACUCUACCCUUCAUCUCUAACAGUUUUCCAUAAGCAAUUUCAGCACAUAAACAUCACAAGCAUCAUCAUAAAAACCCUAAAACUGAAUGGGUAAGCUUAACUCAUCCAAACAUGGCAAGUUCAACAUGCUUUCAACAAAUUUCUUCACAAAUAACUAUCACGAAGCAGAAACCUAGCAAGACUACCCAUCAUAUCUCCCAAAACCCCAUAUCCACGAAAUUCAAGAGGGAAAGAAGUCUACCCAAACCUGAAAUUUCAAAGUCCCACACGUAGAGAUGCGCUUCACGACUCCGAAAAUGCCCUCCUUUCGCGAUUUGGAGCAGAAAUGGGCACCAAAGGUUGAAGCUUUGUUUGGAGCUUCAAUGGAGAAUGAAGGAGAAGAGAAUGGCAACGUGAGAGAGAGAGAGGAAAAAGGCUUCUGAAAUUUUGGGGCUGAG
rnacentral:lncRNA from 1 species